UGAGCCCUGAAUGCUGAUUUGUCUGAAAGCCAUGGUAUACCACAGUCCUCCAGGCCUCUGUCUGCUUCUAUGCAAAGAGUUGUCAAAUGUCAAGAGUUUGACUGUCAAAUGUGUCAGUGUUUCCAAGGAGGAAAAAGCAAGACAGAGUCUACGAGAGUCAGUUAACUGAGGGAAGGUGAAGAGAGUGUUUCUGCCCCAAGCCCAGUUACCUGCCAACCUCGACGACCCAUCUGACACCCCCCCUGCUCCCUUCUGGCUUUCGCGGCCAUGGCCCUCGUCACAACCAUGGGAGUGGUGCCAGUCGUUCUCCUGGUCCUGGCAGCAUUUGACUCAGUGUCCACAGCACACUCUCUUCCUAAUAGCUUUGGCAAAGAGUUCAUCACUGCGUUCCCGGAGAACAUCGCCUUUUACCAUCCCACUCAGCCUUACAACAGAAUUGUAAUCACAGCACUACACAGUGACACCACGGUAAUUGUGAAAAUGAGGGAACUGGGUUCCACAGAUACCAGGAACCUGAAUGCAGCACAGGAAGUUGUGAUUGAGACACGUUGGAUAAGUGCAGAACUCAAGAGGUCAAAGUUCUCUAACAACACAAUCCAUGUGACCAGCAACAAAGACAUCAGUGUCCUUGCCAUCAGCCAAAGAGGUGAAAGCAUCCAGGCCACGGUAGUCCCACCGGUGGAGAGCUUGGGUACAGAGUACCAUGUCCCCCCUAUACCUGAGAUGAAGCAUCCUCAGCCUCAAAUAGACCCAGGGAACCAUUUGUUUAGGCUCAUCAUCAUAAACAAUAAAGAAACUAACAAUGUCACCAUCUCAGGGCCAGUAGGUGAGAACGAGACUGUCUCACUCCAGCCGUUCCAACUGGUUCAACUCGGGCUCAAUAGAUCGCUGCCAGAGCCACACGUAUUGGCCGACCACCCCGUGGCAGUUCUGUACAGCCACCCAUGUGCUGCCA